AGAGAAUAGACCACUCUCUGGCUGGGAGCUGUGGGGACGAAGAGCAGAAUGCCCUGUGUCUGGAUUCUUCUGGGCAUGAUCAGAUUCUUUCUGGGUUUCUGUCCAGCUGACCCCUUCGAUGCAUCCAUUAAGGACUGGUUCAGAGACCCACUUCUGUGCAAUCUUCCCUCCUUCCCUCAAUCAGAGGUCCCAGUAAAAAUCUGAAAAGGAAUAAAAACCUCACAACAAGGAAGAUAACUGGAGAAAGGCUAUAGGAGUAUAAGAGGUUUCACUAAGCAUCCAGAAGUCAGGAAGAGCAUGGAAAAGCAUUAAUGGUGCACUGAAGUUGAUAUAGCUUCAGCCAGGGGUGUUUCCUGAAUGAAAAAAGGAACUCAGGUUGCCUGUUGGGGAUCCUAGAGGUUUCAGCCUGAGAGAAGGAGGGUGGGGUGAAAGAAGACACUGAGAAGUGGAUGGAAAAUGGGGACAAAUUAAUAACAACCUGUGUACAGAACAGUUGCCCCCUUGACCACAAUACUCAUUGCCCACCACUUCCCCCACUUGGUAUUUCUCUCUUUCCUCAGGCCAAGAGGAAAAUAGAUACUUAUUCUCUAAAGAUAUCUGAAAAAUCUUUCUUCGGAGAACAAGAGCAGUUAGUAUGGUGGUAUUUGGGACACCCUGAUCAUUACAGGGGCACUCUACUCACUACAAAGUGAGGCCUGGAAG